rnacentral:rRNA from 1 species
AGACCCGAAACCCGGUGAUCUAGCCAUGGGCAGGUUGAAGGUUGGGUAACACUAACUGGAGGACCGAACCGACUAAUGUUGAAAAAUUAGCGGAUGACUUGUGGCUGGGGGUGAAAGGCCAAUCAAACCGGGAGAUAGCUGGUUCUCCCCGAAAGCUAUUUAGGUAGCGCCUCGUGAAUUCAUCUCCGGGGGUAGAGCACUGUUUCGGCAAGGGGGUCAUCCCGACUUACCAACCCGAUGCAAACUGCGAAUACCGGAGAAUGUUAUCACGGGAGACACACGGCGGGUGCUAACGUCCGUCGUGAAGAGGGAAACAACCCAGACCGCCAGCUAAGGUCCCAAAGUCAUGGUUAAGUGGGAAACGAUGUGGGAAGGCCCAGACAGCCAGGAUGUUGGCUUAGAAGCAGCCAUCAUUUAAAGAAAGCGUAAUAGCUCACUGGUCGAGUCGGCCUGCGCGGAAGAUGUAACGGGGCUAAACCAUGCACCGAAGCUGCGGCAGCGACACUGUGUGUUGUUGGGUAGGGGAGCGUUCUGUAAGCCUGUGAAGGUGUGCUGUGAGGCAUGCUGG